GGGGUAAUGAUAUGAAAUAGUACAAUGCCAUAGAAACAACACACAAAACAGUAUGACUUUUGUGAAAUAUAAGACAAAAGCUAAAAAACGGAAAAAUCAUGUUUUUUUUUUUUUUCCAUAGAAACCACAUAUUUACUUAGCAUGGCAAUUUUGAGGUUGGACUCAUUUAGUACAUUCAAAUUGCCAAAGAAAAUAAAGAGU
rnacentral:lncRNA from 1 species